AGGGAAUGUCUUAAGUUUCAUUACGUAUGGCUUUAGGAAAUUUUAACUUUUCUUUCAGAUGACCUUUAUACCUUUUAUGCUUAAAAGUAAUUAAUAAGAAAAAAUCUGCCUAUAGAAUGACUAAUUGUAUCUUUGAUUUUGUAGGUGGUACUAUAGUGUUGUUUGACUGAAAGAAGCUCAGAAACUUCAGAAAAGAUGGUCAUAACUGGAAAAAGAAAAAGGAUGGAAAGACUGUUAAAGAAGCUCAUGAACACUUAAAAGUUUUUAAUGAAGGAAGGAUUCAUGUAUAUUAUGCACGUGGCCAUGAUAAUCCAACUUUUGUUCGGAGGUGUUACUGGCUGCUGGAUAAGACUCUGGAAAACAUAGUUCUUGUUCACUAUCGUGAAACAGAGGAGUUGCAGGGUUCUCCAGCCACACCUGUGAAUUCAAAUGCCUGUGUAACUGAUCAGUCUACUCUUUUGCUUCUUACACUGUAGUUUGAUUCUGGUGCUACUGAUGCAUAUAAUGAAGAUCUCAGUGAGAACAUUAAGGCAAAUCACGAAAUGACUCUUCAUGAGAUUAGUUGCUGGCUUUAAGGUGUGAGGGGAAGUGCAAGUGGUGAUCUCAAGCAGCACUUGUUUCAAGAAAUUUAAUAGGUCCUUAUUUUCUAGAACUUUAUGAUAUUUAUGGAAUCUGGGACUUUUGGACUUUGGUUUUGGACGUAGUAUGAUGCAUGUUUAAGUUAGUUGACAAGCAUGUUUGAGACUUAAUAUGCUAAAUAGUGAAUUUAUGUGGUCUUGAUGUUAUGAGCCUUCUUAGUACUAUAAAUAAGGGUGUUGUGACUUGUUGGAAUAGUGUAGUGACCAAAAAUGCAUGAAAUGGUGGUAGUGUAUAACAUGUAUGAAAAAUGGUCUAAAAUGAAACAUAGGGUCUAAAGUUUUA